rnacentral:sRNA from 1 species
AUGCACACACAGGUCUGUGCACACACAUACACAUGCACAGGCACCUGUGCACACACACAUGCAGAUACACCCACAGCAUCCCAUCUGUGCCACACACAGACAUAGGUACAUGGAGACAGAUGCACACACAGGUCUAUGCACACACGUAUGCAUGCACAGGCACCUCUGUACACACAUACAGAUACACCCGCAGUAUCCCAUCUGUGCCACACACAGACAUACGUACAUGGAGACAGAUGCACAUACAGGUCUAUGCACACAUGUACACAUGCACAGGCACCUGUGCACACAUACAUACAGAUGCACCCGCAACAUCCCGUCUGUGCUGCCCUAUUAGGUUUGUGGCCAUUUGGGGAAUCUUCCUAAAACCCUAAAAGCUAGGGCAGGUCUGCUUGAGCAGGAGCAGCAGGGUCUGGGGGACCCUUGAGGGCAGGACAGUCAGGGACCCACAGUUGAGCUGGGCCUGCUGAGCCCUGGAUCCUUCUUGGUGUCUUAUCCUGGCCAGCAAGCAAGUGUGAGCUCCUGUGGGUCUCCAGAGGCCCAUGAGGACCAGUGGGCCAGGUGGGAAUAAGGCUUGGCGUCCUCUUCAGGGGGGAACACCAGGGCAGGCCUGAGGAGGCCUUUGUCCCCAGCCUGUCAUUGCUGUGGCUCCGCUUCUCAGGGAGCCUAGGAAGAAGGUGUGGCAAGAGCCCGAGGCGCUGGCUGCACCUGGCAGGGCCUGUGGGCGUCAGUUUAGACGCAUCCAUUCUCACUGCAGCAUUCCAGGGUUUGCCCUUAUGCUCGGCUGUGUGAGGGUGAGGAUGAUGCUGUGGGGGCAUGCAUGCUGGGUGUGUUUCAGCCUUCUCUUCCACCAGGCAUCCUGACAUCGAGGCCCAGGAGAGAGGAGUCCGGUGUCUACUUGAGAAACAGCUCCCCAGUGGCGACUGGCCGCAGGAAAACAUUGCCGGGGUCUUCAACAAGUCCUGUGCCAUCUCCUACACGAGCUACAGGAACAUCUUCCCCAUCUGGGCCCUCGGCCGCUUCUCCCAGCUGUACACUGAGAGAGCCCUUGCUGGCCACCCCUGAGAACAUGCCUAUCUGCUGGGUGCCGUCUUGGCCUUCAAGUCACAGGACGCAGCGAUUCCCUGCCCUCUUCGGUGUUAUUACACAGGCAGGACUUCAGUGUCAGUAUCCCUGCCUUCAGUCUUCUUUAGAAAUCACAUCCGUGUUCAAUCCAUUGUUUAGAGGGAGUGUAUUUUUCCUGUUCCACGAAGAGGACUUUUUGUUCACAAUUGGAUCACAAUGCAGAGGAGUCUGUUCCUCCCCCGUCAGCUUCUCGGUGCUGGGAGGGUGACCUGUCCCAGAUGACUCAUCACCCUGACAUGUUCUUGACAAAGGACACCACCAAGAGGAGAUGGCAGCUGCACCUGCGCAGCCUCUGUCUGAGGGGGAUAUUUGCCUCCGUGUGAUUAAAAAUCAAGUUUGCUAUCCUGAAUAAGUCAUGAAAGA